rnacentral:lncRNA from 1 species
UUACUUGCACUAGAUUUUUACUCGUCAAUGGAGAGUCGGAUUGUGCUUGAUGAGUUUAAUUCAUCAGUCUUGCAAUUUCUAUUCUUGGUGGUUUUCUCUUAGCUUCUCAAUUUAAUUCCAGGGAAUUCAGCAUCAAAGAUCUGUUCUUGAGUUUUGAAUUUUGAAUUUUUCCUUCUUCUUUAAUUUGAGGCUUAUAGGGCAAAUCCAAGGUUGUAUCUUUGAGUUCUGCUCUAAAACUCUGAGCUCCUCUCUUUUCAAGCUUCAAUCUUGUUUGCUUUUUUGCUGACAAAACUCUUCUGUUAUUGUAUAUUUUUCAAUAUUUAUGAGGUUCUGAGUGCGGGUUGAUGAACUUAUACAGUGUACAAAGUCAGUGGGUACACUAGAAGAGAUGUUCUCUAGCAUUCCUUACACUCACUCAUGAUAUGACAAGUGUAACUGCCAAGAAUAGUUACAGACUUGUUAUGCUACUAUGGAUAAGAAGAUUCAUCUGAAAACAAGUAUAGUUUCACCUCAACGAUUUUCAACAAAUGCUUUUUAUUUAGAAAACAUGGUUGUCGAGGUUAUGUAUGUGAACAUGUGAUUCUCAACAAUUCUUUCUACAUAUCUAAUGGUUAAAAUACUAGCGUGUUUCAUGCUCUCAUAUGGUAGUUGUUAGAUUUUAAUCUGAGUUUAGACUCCAUGUAAAAGACUAGUCUUUGGCCUAUUUAGUUGGAGCCUUCAAUCACUUAGCUCA